rnacentral:rRNA from 1 species
UGGGGAAUAUUGCACAAUGGAGGGAACUCUGAUGCAGCGACGCCGCGUGAACGAAGAAGGCUUUCGAGUCGUAAAGUUCUUUUAUAUGGGAAGAUAAUGACGGUACCAUAAGAAAAAGCCCCGGCUAACUACGUGCCAGCAGCCGCGGUAAUACGUAGGGGGCUAGCGUUAUCCGGAUUUACUGGGCGUAAAGGGUGCGUAGGUGGUCCUUCAAGUCGGUGGUUAAAGGCUACGGCUCAACCGUAGUAAGCCGCCGAAACUGGAGGACUUGAGUGCAGGAGAGGAAAGUGGAAUUCCCAGUGUAGCGGUGAAAUGCGUAGAUAUUGGGAGGAACACCAGUAGCGAAGGCGGCUUUCUGGACUGCAACUGACACUGAGGCACGAAAGCGUGGGUAGCAAACAGG